UUGCUUUCGAUAGGCGUCGACCGGCGCACGGGUGAGUAACGCGUAUCCAACCUGCCCAUAACUAAGGGAUAAUCCGUAGAAAUGCGGUCUAAUACCUUAUGUGAUCCGAGGAAGACAUCUGAUUUGGAUUAAAGAUUUAUCGGUUAUGGAUGGGGAUGCGUCUGAUUAGAUUGUUGGCGGGGCAACGGCCCACCAAGUCUGCGAUCAGUAGGGGUUCUGAGAGGAAGGUCCCCCACAUUGGAACUGAGACACGGUCCAAACUCCUACGGGAGGCAGCAGUGAGGAAUAUUGGUCAAUGGGCGGGAGCCUGAACCAGCCAAGUAGCGUGCAGGAUGACGGCCCUAUGGGUUGUAAACUGCUUUUGUAUGGGGAUAAAGUGCUCCACGUGUGGAGUUUUGCAGGUACCAUACGAAUAAGGACCGGCUAAUUCCGUGCCAGCAGCCGCGGUAAUACGGAAGGUCCGGGCGUUAUCCGGAUUUAUUGGGUUUAAAGGGAGCAUAGGCCGUGGAUUAAGUGUGUUGUGAAAUGUAGGCGCUCAACGUCUGACUUGCAGCGCAUACUGGUCCACUUGAGUGCGCACAACGCGGGCGGAAUUUGUCGUGUAGCGGUGAAAUGCUUAGAUAUGACGAAGAACCCCGAUUGCGAAGGCAGCUCGCGGGAGCGCAACUGACGCUGAAGCUCGAAAGUGCGGGUAUCGAACAGGAUUAGAUACCCUGGUAGUCCGCACGGUAAACGAUGGAUGCCCGCUUUUCGGUCAUUAGACCGUGAGGCCAAGUGAAAACAUUAAGCAUCCCACCUGG
rnacentral:rRNA from 1 species